rnacentral:rRNA from 1 species
GACGAACGCUGGCGGCGUGCCUAAUACAUGCGAGUAGAACGCUGAAGGAGGAGCUUGCUUCUCUGGAUGAGUUGCGAACGGGUGAGUAACGCGUAGGUAACCUGCCUGGUAGCGGGGGAUAACUAUUGGAAACGAUAGCUAAUACCGCAUAAUAGUAGAUGUUGCAUGACAUUUGCUUAAAAGGUGCAGUUGCAUCACUACCAGAUGGACCUGCGUUGUAUUAGCUAGUUGGUGGGGUAACGGCUCACCAAGGCGACGAUACAUAGCCGACCUGAGAGGGUGAUCGGCCACACUGGGACUGAGACACGGCCCAGACUCCUACGGGAGGCAGCAGUAGGGAAUCUUCGGCAAUGGACGGAAGUCUGACCGAGCAACGCCGCGUGAGUGAAGAAGGUUUUCGGAUCGUAAAGCUCUGUUGUAAGAGAAGAACGAGUGUGAGAGUGGAAAGUUCACACUGUGACGGUAUCUUACCAGAAAGGGACGGCUAACUACGUG